rnacentral:rRNA from 1 species
AACGAACGCUGGCGGCAGGCUUAACACAUGCAAGUCGAGCGCCCCGCAAGGGGAGCGGCAGACGGGUGAGUAACGCGUGGGAAUCUACCCAUCUCUACGGAAUAACGCAUGGAAACGUGUGCUAAUACCGUAUACGUCCUUCGGGAGAAAGAUUUAUCGGAGAUGGAUGAGCCCGCGUUGGAUAAGCUAGUUGGUGGGGUAAAGGCCUACCAAGGCGACGAUCCAUAGCUGGUCUGAGAGGAUGAUCAGCCACACUGGGACUGAGACACGGCCAGACUCCUACGGGAGGCAGCAGUGGGGAAUAUUGGACAAUGGGCGCAAGCCUGAUCCAGCCAUGCCGCGUGAGUGAUGAAGGCCCUAGGGUUGUAAAGCUCUUUCACCGGUGAAGAUAAUGACGGUAACCGGAGAAGAAGCCCCGGCUAACUUCGUGCCAGCAGCCGCCGUAACAC